rnacentral:lncRNA from 1 species
GGAGUCUCCAGGCAUAAUGGACGCCCCUCCUCCACUCCUGAACCUCGUGUCCAGAAGCAACAGCAUGAUCUGGCAGUGGGAUUAGCUGCUUCAGGAGUGGAGCCCUGCCAUAAAUGCUGAGUAUCCAAUGCAUAAAUGCAGGGAAGGGGAGCUCUGCACCUGCUCUGGUCCAGGAGGGCUUCCUGUAGGAGGCUGAGCAGGAGCUGGUGGAGGUGACGAGGUGUGUUUGCACAGAAGGGUGUAUGUGUGGAAGAGAGAUUCCAAGGAGCAAAGGGC